ensembl:lincRNA
UGUGUGUACAUAGAGGCUUACCCUGUGGACAUCCUGGAGGAUGACCCGGAGGGCCAACAGGCAUCAGCACAGGCUUACUAUGAGAUGCUCAGGGAAGGAGCCCAGACCUCUGCAGAGGUUAUAUCCCUUUCCACUGGGGAGCAGGUCACACUUGAAACUUCAUCUCUUUGUUUUUGCACGAUGUACCAUGAUGAACCUCAACAUAAAAUACUGGGUUUGGUUAAUCCCCAGGACACAAAGACAGUUGUGGCCGUUUACUUAAAGGAAUCCUGGUGGUCCAUCGAAGACGUCCUAAGAACUUCAGAUCCCACACGGGAAGGGCUCAUGAAGGUUCAGUCCUUUGGGGAAAGGAUUGUUCUCUUUGUCCUCAACGCCAUUGUUUUCGGAAGACUGGAGAGAAGGCUGGACAGCGAUGACAUGUUUUUCUUACCUCACCCUGCGAAGGAGCAAGCUAAGAUUCUGUGGAGAGAUGGAGCCGCAGUUGGAUUUUACUCAAUCAAAAUGAAAGGCAGCCUCUGUGGUGCUGGUACCAGCGCAUGCUACCUGCUGCCUGUCUUUGACACCGUGUUUGUGAGGAGGAAGAGCCGUUGCCAAGGCCUGGGGACAGCCAUGCUGAGGGACUUCUGUGACACCUUUCAAGGAGACGAAGCUCUGGGUAUCAGUUGUCCGAUCUCUCCUGCAAUGUACAGAGUCCUCAGGCAGUUCCUGUUGACCUGUCCAGGCGAGAGAGGGCGCUUGUGGGAGGUGGAGCCCCCAGGGGCCUGGGGCCAGCGUGUUAACAUCUGGCUCAAGGUUUAUCUUCAGGAGCAGAGACUUCAAGAUGGGAGCACCGUGCCCCCUAAAGGUUCUGGAGUGGGCUGUUGGAGAACCGGCGAGGACACAGAAUGACCGACGAUGUGCGGAAGUGUGUGAGGAAGCAUGUUAGGUGUGAACCCAGCACCUAACUCCUCAGAGGUCCGUCUGGCCUCUCCAGGAUCUGAGCCUGAGGGUUUUAUACGGCCCUGAAUAACCUCUGGUCCUGAGGAUGGUCUUUGUUAUCUCUGGCUCCCCUGGUAGGCUCCGGAAUAACUGAGUCUGAAGAAGUGCUUGGGUGAGCCAGAUACUCAAUGGGAGCUGCUUUUGCAAGCCAACUCUUGGCAGAUCCAGGACUUUAGGAGCUCAUUCAUUAAGACGACCAUUGCUUCCAAUGAAUGCACACCCUUCCCCUUAGUGGAAACAGGCUCAGAGAUGGACCAUGGUUCCCAUCCGUGUUGCACAUUCAGCCCUGUUGUAACCUCAGAGCUCGACACUGGAGUUUUUCAGGGAGACAAGUUCCUUCUCUGGGGACUUGUCAGUCACUUCCCAGCUCCUUGAGGACACACACCAGGGCUGGAUAAUGUCAACCAUGCCAGGGCCCGAUGGUGGCCACUGUGGGUCUUGGACUGCAUUAGGCUCAGCGUACUGCCUGUGUUGCCUUCAAUGCCAUCAAGUCCAGAUGUCUGGAUGUGGGGGAGGAUUUCUCCCAGAGAAAGCUGGCCCGGCACUUUAUGUUCCCUGAAUGCUCAAACAACAUAUGCUGUAGGGCCUUAUAUUUGUCAAAGCAUGCAGCUCUUUGCUCAUUUCUACAUAUAUGCACACAUACAUCUCUCAUUUUCUCCCUCUUCUGUUCCCUUCACCUCUUCUCUUCCUCUCUCCCCUUUCUCUAUCCAUUUAUCUGUAUAUAUAUGUGUGUGUGUGUACAUACACAUAUGUAUAUGUAUGUUGUGAUUGUUUGUAUAUGCUAGGCCCAGGGAGUGGCAUUUUUAGAAGGUGUGGCCCUGUUGGAGUAGUGUCACUGUGGGUGUCUGGCUUUAAGACCCUCAUCCUAGCUGCCUGGAAGUGAGUAUUCUGCUAGCAGCCUCCAGAUGAAGAUGUAGAACUCUCAGCUCUGCCUGCACCAUGCCUGCCUAGAUGCUGCCAUGCUCCAACCUUGAUGAUAAUGGAAUGAACCUCUGAACCUGUAAGCCAGCCCCAAUUAAAUGUUGGCCUUAUAAGACUUGCCUUGGUCAUGGUGUCUGCUCACAGCAGUAAAACCCUAACUAGGACACACACAUAUAUCACACAUAUAAUAUAUAUACAACCAUACACACAUGUACACACACACACACACUCUCUCUAUUUCCUUUGAUUCACUUCUAUAUCCCCUACCAAUCUGUCCUCUCUUGGUCCUUCCUUUCUGCACCCAUCCAUUGUGAUUUCUGUAUGACAAACUCUGUGUUAUGCUUGGGACAUUAAACUGAGGCUUGGUUUCAGCCUCAGGGAGCUGCUUUCUCUGGGUGGGCUGUCCUGAGAGUCCCCUGCAGUUUCUCUUCCUCUCUCACACAUUGCAAAGAGGGAAGGGCCCAACUAUGAAGAAGCAGAACAUGCAGCUCCAUACAGAGACAUCACGAGAACCCCGUUUGUAUAUGGGGUCUGUGAAGCAAGCUCGGACCACAGACAUGGACUAAACAUCUGACGGGUGCUUUAUGUGGGACCCCACACAUCCUUUAACAUGUAGUUCAUGUGUUGUGAGGAUUUUGUGUUUUCUGUUUAUAUGAAAAUGAACUCAAAAGUGUCUCUGUGAUUUAAUAACAUUAUUGUUCAAUAAAGGCCUUCUAUAUAUUAAUAGCUU